UGUGUAACUUAAGAUGGUUGUUGUUGUUGUUUUGAUGUAUUUUUCGUACAAUUAUUAAUCGAAGUUACUUUUGAUUAAAUUUGUAAUCGAAGUUACUUUUGAUUAAAUUUGAGCAAUAUAUAUAGCUUCCGCAAUGUGAAUAUAAAACCUAAAAGCAAUUCAAAAUACAAUUUAGUGAAAACUCUUUCGGUUUGCUUUUCACAGUGAUAGAUUGCAGAAAGGCUGAUUUUGUGGGCAAUCCUCUCUCCUCCCUCCGUUCCCACUCUAAAAAUCUUUCACGGAGGUGAUGAUGAGAGAGGUUCAAGGUUUCGCCGGUUUCUUCUCCGGCUCUGACUCCCGGUGAUCGGGCAUCGACUCUGGCAAGCGGCGGCUUCUUCAGCGACGACUUGGCUGACUUCUUUUCCGGCAAACGAUAGCUCCUUCAGCGUCGCUUGGCUGGCUCUGUCUCCGGCAUUCGAUGGCUUUCACAGCACCGUUCAUGGCCGGCUCCUCUUUUAACUUUUAUCGCUCAUCUCUGAUUGUGUUCCAGUGGAGUGCUCGAUUAGACAUCCGACGGUAAUCUCCGAGCCAGUGAAGUCGACGGCGUCUCUACUUCUGAGCCACCUAGUUCUCUUUUGCUUACGGCAAAACACGUGACUAUGUGUUGUCAUGUGGAGAUGCAUCCUUCAUCAUUUGGACUUUUAGGAUUGGGCUUUAUGAUGUGUCCCUUUUUAUGUUUUACGUCUGGGCCUUGUCUUGUUAGGCCUCUUUGUACUUUGUUGACCAUUUGGUCGUUUUAAUAAAACGAGAUGACAAAAAAAAGUCAUUUUGCUAA